CUCAUUUUUCAGGUGCUAUAUCCACAUGAUCGAAGAAUCUAUUCACAUUUGUGAUCCAAUCUAAAAAUUCCUCUAUAUUGAGAUCCCCAUAGAAAUUAGGAACAUCAAGAUAACCCGUUCUUCUUCUCCUAUCACCACCAUACCAUUGAUGUUUAUUGAACUUGAUUAGUUCAUGGUUAUCUUCUUCUAAAUCAUCAUGGUAGACAUAUUGCCUACGAGCGGAACUUGGUCAAUAAAUAAAGUCACCACGAGUUACACCAUCU
rnacentral:misc_RNA from 1 species